UACGUAGGGGGCAAGCGUUGUCCGGAUUUACUGGGUGUAAAGGGCGCGCAGGCGGGCUAGAAAGUCAGAGGUGAAAUCUCCCGGCUCAACCGGGAAACUGCCUUUGAUACUUCUAGCCUUGAGUACGGAAGAGAGAGAUGGAAUUCCAGGUGUAGUGGUGAAAUACGUAGAUAUCUGGAAGAACACCAGUUGCGAAGGCGAUCUCUUGGUCCGUUACUGACGCUCAGGCGCGAAAGCGUGGGUAGCAAACAGG
rnacentral:misc_RNA from 1 species